GAACGCCCAUGCAUUUCGUCAGACAAUUAUAAAUUAUACAUAGAACCACUCCUCAAACCAUUUCCAUGUUACCGCUUUUGCGAUUGCAGUAUUACCAGUGUCGAUACUAUUGCAUUAUUUUAGCGCUAAGGCCAGUUACCCUUGUGCUUCAAUGCAUAAAACAGCGUUUUCCUCAAAAAGGUAACUGGAACGCCCAUGCAUUUCGUCAGACACUUAUAAAUUAUACAUAGAACCACUCCUCAAACCAUUUCCAUGUUACCGCUUUUGCGAUUGCAGUAUUACCAGUGUCGAUACUAUUGCAUUAUUUUAGCGCUAAGGCCAGUUACCCUUGUGCUUCAAUGCAUAAAACAGCGUUUUCCUCAAAAAGGUAACUGGAACGCCCAUGCAUUUCGUCAGACACUUAUAAAUUAUACAUAGAACCACUCCUCAAACCAUUUCCAUGUUACCGCUUUUGCGAUUGCAGUAUUACCAGUGUCGAUACUAUUGCAUUAUUUUAGCGCUAAGGCCAGUUACCCUUGUGCUUCAAUGCAUAAAACAGCGUUUUCCUCAAAAAGUUAACUGGAACGCCCAUGCAUUUCGUCGGACACUUAUAAAUUAUACAUAGAACCACUCCUCAAACCAUUUCCAUGUUACCGCUUUUGCGAUUGCAGUAUUACCAGUGUCGAUACUAUUGCAUUAUUUUAGCGCUAAGGCCAGUUACCCUUGUGCUUCAAUGCAUAAAACAGCGUUUUCCUCAAAAAGUUAACUGGAACGCCCAUGCAUUUCGUUGGACACAUUGAAAAUUAAUAUCUCGAAACUGGUUCAGUCCUGAUAAUUCGUUCCAAGUGAAUACGCCUUGAGAACUCAGCGGCUAUAAUUCGUAGAUUGAAAGAUGCGCAGUAAAAUAAUUUAUUAAAAAGUUAAUUAGCGUAAUUAUGUUAAAUAUUCAAUUAGGCGCUCUGACCAUUCAUUAGGUCAUCCAUGUCAGAAUUAGCUUGGAACUACUAAAACUACUAGCCUCCUUAGAGCGUCGUCGCAUUAAUGCGAACACAAGAAAUCCUGAGAUAUGGUCUAUUCCAUACUUCAGCACACUCUAUAAGCAUCAGUCGUUAAUACAUAACCUACCAUUCACUUUGAACAAAUAAAAAAAUGUCGAUAAUUUCAGUAAGAAAGAACUCAGCUACUACUUUGUUCGCUUGUAAUGUAUCUGAUGUGAUUAUUAUUCCGUCUUUGUGGAUGGUUCUGAGUAUGUAAUGUACAUCCUGUUUCGUUUUCUUACGAAAUGUUAAUCUUGUAAAAUUCAGUCUCAUGCUAUGUUGUAUAGCUGGUGUUGCAUUGUUUUGUAUAGCUAGUAUUGUUAUUGUAGUGUUGUUUAAAAUGCAUUCUGUUAAAACUUUUUCCGAUUCUGUUAACUCGCCGUGACGGAAAUAUUUUUUGUCUUUCCGUUCAUAGCUAUUUCUUCUAUGAGGAAUACCAGCGAGAGCUGGAAAUAUAUGGGAAUUAUUGUGCAUGUGCGCACACUGUUUGCUGUACUAUUGCCUUGCCUGGUCUUUUGGGUCACGUCAAGCUACAUAUGUAGCUUUUAGUCCAAAAUGACCGUCCAGAAUGUAAACUAAAGAAUAAAUUGAUUUGAUCUGAUUGAUUUCGUUGGACACUUUGAAAAUUAAUAUCUCGAAACUGGUUCAGUCCUGAGAAUUCGUUCCAAGUGCAUAUGCCUUGCGAACUCGGCGGCGAUAAUUCGUAGAUUGAAAGAUGUACCGUAAAAUAAUUAAUUUAAAAGUUAAUUAGCGUAAUUAUGUUGAUUCUUCAAUUAGGCGUUUUGAUUUCUCUUGGAAGUAAUGGCCGCCUCAUCGAGUAGUUUAGAUCAAGGAUUAUAAUUGUGCUAUCUGCCACAGGCAAUCUUUAAAAUUUUGGUUUAGCUAAAAUGAAACACCCUGUAUAUUUCCAUGCUAAAUGACAUCAUAGAACGAUAUCGUACAAAUCAAGGUGAGUGCUUGCGCACCAGCGGGAAAAUAGCUGCACAGGCAAUUGGCCGGAUUACUGAUGUUUCCGUGGGAAAAACAAAGACUUCGGCCUUUUAUUGCUUAUAUACUGCCGCUGAUUAAACCUCGAGAAGGUGAGGCUGACAGAUACGGUGCAAUCUGUAAGUAAACAAUAAAGAAUUUUUUUCCUACAGGCCGGGCCUGGUCAUGCACACGCGGGCCCUAGCUAAGCUUAGUAAUGAACGCCCGGGCUGGUCUCGGUCAUGUACGCCCGGGCCCGGGCCGGGCUCGGGCUUUGUAUUACGGGCCCGGGCUGAGCUCGGGCCUCGUAAAGCGGGCCCGGGCCGGGUUCGGGCCGAAAAAUCAGGCCCGUGCAGUGCUCUAAUAAGGGGUCUAACUUGUCCAGCUGGAGACGUUGUGUAACAUCGUACUCCAUAGAAAAGUGUCACUCUAAUACAUG